AGAUCCACUGGCCACAACUCUCACUGACUUGGGUGAACGAGAUAAGAUGUAUAUAACCCACAUGUCAGAGGAGGCUACUUCCUGAAAUACUGGACAACUGAGACACCCACCUGUCUGGGACCCAUUGACCUUCCAUGGAAAAAUCAUAAAAGCUUCUUCAGCCAAGUGCAGUGUCACACACCUGUAAUCCCAGCAACUGAGGAGGCCAAGGCAGGAUGAUUGCAAGUUUGGGACCAACCUGGGCAGCUUAGCAAGAC
rnacentral:lncRNA from 1 species